AUUGAACGCUGGCGGCAGGCCUAACACAUGCAAGUCGAACGAGUGGCGGACGGGUGAGUAAUGUCUGGGAAACUGCCUGAUGGAGGGGGAUAACUACUGGAAACGGUAGCUAAUACCGCAUACCAUCGGAUGUGCCCAGAUGGGAUUAGCUAGUAGGAGGGGUAAAGGCUCGCCUAGGCGACGAUCCCUAGCUGGUCUGAGAGGAUGAACAGCCACAAUGGAAAGUGGAAACGGUCCAGACUCCUACGGGGGGCAGGAGUGGGGAAUAUUGCACAAUGGGCGAAAGCCUGAUGCAGCCAUGCCGCGGGUAUGAAGAAGGUCUUCGGGUUUUAAAGUACUUUAAGCGGGGAGGCGUUACCCGCAGAAGAAGCACCGGCUAACUCCGUGCCAGCAGCCGCGGUAAUUC
rnacentral:rRNA from 1 species